GACGAACGCUGGCGGCGUGCUUAACACAUGCAAGUCGAACGGAAAGGCCCUGCUUUUGUGGGGUGCUCGAGUGGCGAACGGGUGAGUAACACGUGAGUAACCUGCCCUUGACUUUGGGAUAACUUCAGGAAACUGGGGCUAAUACCGGAUAGGAGCUCCUGCUGCAUGGUGGGGGUUGGAAAGUUUCGGCGGUUGGGGAUGGACUCGCGGCUUAUCAGCCUGUUGGUGGGGUAGUGGCUUACCAAGGCUUUGACGGGUAGCCGGCCUGAGAGGGUGACCGGCCACAUUGGGACUGAGAUACGGCCCAGACUCCUACGGGAGGCAGCAGUGGGGAAUAUUGCACAAUGGGCGGAAGCCUGAUGCAGCAACGCCGCGUGCGGGAUGACGGCCUUCGGGUUGUAAACCGCUUUCGCCUGCGACGAAGCGUGAGUGACGGUAAUGGGUAAAGAAGCACCGGCUAACUACGUG
rnacentral:rRNA from 1 species